UACGAGGGGUGCAAGCGUUGCUCGGAAUUAUUGGGCGUAAAGGGUAGGUAGGUGGUCUUAUUUGUCAGGGGUGAAAUCCUUGGGCUUAACUCAAGAAGUGCCCCUGAAACGGUAAGACUAGAAUCUUGGAGAGGUGAGCGGAAUUCCCGGUGUAGCGGUGAAAUGCGUAGAGAUCGGGAGGAACACCAGCGGCGAAGGCGGCUCACUGGACAAGUAUUGACACUCAACUACGAAAGCGUGGGGAGCAAACAGG
rnacentral:rRNA from 1 species